UGGUUCGGAACAACUCAGGGAAACUUGAGCUAAUACCGAAUGUGCCCUUCGGGGGAAAGAUUUAUCGCCAUUAGAGCGGCCCGCGUCUGAUUAGCUAGUUGGUGAGGUAAAGGCUCACCAAGGCUACGAUCAGUAGCUGGUCUGAGAGGAUGAUCAGCCACAUUGGGACUGAGACACGGCCCAAACUCCUACGGGAGGCAGCAGUGGGGAAUCUUGCGCAAUGGGCGAAAGCCUGACGCAGCCAUGCCGCGUGAAUGAUGAAGGUCUUAGGAUUGUAAAAUUCUUUCACCGGGGACGAUAAUGACGGUACCCGGAGAAGAAGCCCCGGCUAACUUCGUGCCAGCAGCCGCGGUAAUACGAAGGGGGCUAGCGUUGCUCGGAAUUACUGGGCGUAAAGGGAGCGUAGGCGGAUAGUUUAGUCAGAGGUGAAAGCCCAGGGCUCAACCUUGGAAUUGCCUUUGAUACUGGCUAUCUUGAGUACGGAAGAGGUAUGUGGAACUCCGAGUGUAGAGGUGAAAUU
rnacentral:rRNA from 1 species